CAAUAGCGUAUAUUAAAGUUGUUGCAGUUAAAAAGCUCGUAGUUGGAUUUCUGGGAGGGUGCCAAUGUCCGUCGUCGUACGUGUUGCAGCGGCGCCCUUCCAUCCUUCUGUUAACGACUUUGGGCAUUCAUUUGCCGGAGUCGGGCUCAGAUAUUUUACCUUGAGAAAAUUAGAGUGUUUCAGGCAGGCUAGGCCGGAAUACAUUAGCAUGGAAUAAUGGAAUAGGACUACGGUCUCUUUGUUGGUUUGAGGGACUGCAGUAAUGAUUAAUAGGGAUAGUUGGGGGCAUUAGUAUUUAAUUGUCAGAGGUGGAAUUCUCGGAUUUGUUAAAGACUAACUUAUGCGAAAGCAUUUGCCAAGGAUGUUUUCAUUAAUCAAGAACGAAAGUUAGGGGAUCAAAGACGAUCAGAUACCAU
rnacentral:rRNA from 1 species